rnacentral:rRNA from 1 species
GUAGGUGGCAAGCGUUGUCCGGAAUUAUUGGGCGUAAAGCGCGCGCAGGUGGUCUUUAAGUCUGAUGUGAAAGACCCCCGGGCUCAACCGGGGAGGGUCAUUGGAAACUGGGGAACUUGAGUGCAGGAGAGGAAAGUGGAAUUCCACGUGUAGCGGUGAAAUGCGUAGAUAUGUGGAGGAACACCAGUGGCGAAGGCGACUUUCUGGCCUGUAACUGACACUGAGGCGCGAAAGCGUGGGGAGCAAACAGGAUUAGAUACCCUGGUAGUCCACGCCGUAAACGAUGAGUGCUAAGUGUUGGGGGGUUUCCGCCCCUCAGUGCUGCAGCUAACGCAUUAAGCACUCCGCCUGGGGAGUACGGUCGCAAAGACUG